UGUUGUUUUUGAGCUAAAAAAAUCUUAAUAUUUCCCUCGAACAUUACUUGUUUUACAACGCGGAGCGAGGGUACGGGUUUGCUUCGCUUGUGGAUGCAGCAUUUCACUACAAAUAAAAACUAAUUCUUUCAGGUAAGAUUCACGAAACUUUUUUAUAACUUUCUAGACGGCUAGAGUCACUAGACCCUUCAUAUUAUGUCAAAAACUCAUCCUAAUAUAUACAGCAAAUAUUUCAAUAGGGGACAUAAAAGUAUUGUUAACGAUUAAACAUUGUGUACAUGAAAUUAUGUUGUUUUGUGUCAGCAGACAGCACUGGCCUUGGUGGUUUUAUUGCCAGUUUUUAAUUUAUACUAAAAAAUGUGGUUGUUUACAUCACAAUUACAUGUUCAUAUAUUUUAAAACGUUUAUUAAAUAUGGUGUGAAAUUUAUAUACUUGCCCAUCACAGUGCAGAAUUAGUAUAUAUAGAUAAGCACAAGACCAGAGAGAGUUGAGCCGUAGAGGAGGCCCACCUACAUGUGACAAUGCAUGUGCCCUGUCCUGAUGAGCCCUAAAGACUGUCUUUAUUAUUUUACUCUGUCUAAUGCUAGAUGAUUUUAAGGGGAUUGAGACUGCUCCCUGCUGCCACACAGUGGGUUAAUUACCCUAUCUGCAAAUGAGCAGCCCCUGAGAUAUAUAGUCAGCCAUUAAGCUGCAAUGAACCCUGGCUACUUUCUUAUUUUACUCAAUCUGUGAGAUUAAAUCCAGAUGUUUUACUCAUCAAGGGAAGACUCUUUAAAAUAGAUAUCAUUUUGUCAUUGUCUGUUCAGAACUAUAUAAAAACUAUAUAGUUUUACACAGCCUGCGGGCAACAAAAAUGUUGCCCACAAGCCGCCAGGAUUUAAGUGAGUUACUGAUACACUAAUCAUGAGGUACAACAUUUCUAACAAGGGUGGAUUUUCAUUUAUUUAAAAGGAGGGGUAGAAAAAUUUCUGGUGGGGUGCAAGCGGCACCACUCAGUUAGCUUUGGCAGGGGGUAGGCAUUUGGGUUAAAGCUUUUCACACAAAAUGGGAGGGGUGAAGCAGAAUUUUGGUGGGGUUGAUCACUUUUUUAGAGGGGUUUAACCCCCCCACCCCCACCCAAGUAAAUCCACCCAUGAUUUCUAAUAUUGGGAGUAGUGAUGUCCGAUUGGCCAUGACACAGCCUGUGAGAAAUUAUGAUGAAAUUUGCUCAUAAUAGUUAAGUUUGACAUAUUUUAGCAGUUAGUUAGGAAUGUAAUAAUUGCAUUGCUGAAUAUUGAAACAUGACAUUUAAUUUUGAAGCUCGGAUCAAUGGUCUUGGUAAAAACAGAUCAUGUGAUUGCAGUAUUACACUCUCCCCUUGACUUAGUCUAGUAAAAUUGUCUGGCAUUAGGACUAGAUUGAAAUAAUAUAGUAAGGCAUAUCAAGACACAUUGCCACUUGUGAAGGGUUAACAUAUGUGUAUAUGAUAUUUUUGUGAUGUAAAGAUGUAUAAUGUAUUAUGAUAAUAAUGUCAUCUUUUAUUUUGCAGAAAUUAUAUGUUUAAUAUGCACAAGAGAUGGCACUGAGGCAUCAACAUGCAGAAAAACAUGCAGAACAACAAAAUUAAUUAGUUAAUUAUAAUACCAUGC